CAGCCGCCGCGGGAAAACCAGCACCUCGAGUGGUCAGGAGGUUUAUUGGGCCUAAAGCAUCCGUAGCCGGUUGUUUAAGUUUUCGGUUAAAUCUAUGCGCUUAACGUAUAGGCUGCCGAAAAUACUGGACAGCUAGGGAGUGGGAGAGGUACACGGUACUCAAUAGGAAGGGGUAAAAUCCUUUGAUCUGUUGAUGACCACCUGUGGCGAAGGCGGUGUACCAGAACACGUUCGACGGUGAGGGAUGAAAGCUGGGGGAGCAAACCGGAUUAGAUACCCCCGUAGUCCCUGUCUCUUAUAC
rnacentral:rRNA from 1 species